rnacentral:rRNA from 1 species
GACGAACGCUGGCGGCGUGCUUAACACAUGCAAGUCGAACGGAAAGGCCCUGCUUUUGUGGGGUGCUCGAGUGGCGAACGGGUGAGUAACACGUGAGUAACCUGCCCUUGACUUUGGGAUAACUUCAGGAAACUGGGGCUAAUACCGGAUAGGAGCUCCUGCUGCAUGGUGGGGGUUGGAAAGUUUCGGCGGUUGGGGAUGGACUCGCGGCUUAUCAGCUUGUUGGUGGGGUAGUGGCUUACCAAGGCUUUGACGGGUAGCCGGCCUGAGAGGGUGACCGGCCACAUUGGGACUGAGAUACGGCCCAGACUCCUACGGGAGGCAGCAGUGGGGAAUAUUGCACAAUGGGCGGAAGCCUGAUGCAGCAACGCCGCGUGCGGGAGGACGGCCUUCGGGUUGUAAACCGCUUUCGCCUGUGACGAAGCGUGAGUGACGGUAAUGGGAAAGAAGCACCGGCUAACUACGUG